GUGCUCGCUUCAGCAGCACAUAUACUAAAAUUGGAACAAUACAGAGAUUAGCAUGGCCCCUGCUCGAAAGACAUAUACUGAGAGAUUCACAAAGAUGAG
rnacentral:snRNA from 1 species